rnacentral:rRNA from 1 species
UACGUAGGGUGCGAGCGUUAAUCGGAAUUACUGGGCGUAAAGUGUGCGCAGGCGGCCGAGCAAGUCGAGUGUGAAAGCCCCGAGCUUAACUUGGGAACUGCGCUCGAAACUACUUGGCUAGAGUGUGGCAGAGGGAGGUGGAGUUCCACGUGUAGCGGUGAAAUGCGUAGAGAUGUGGAGGAACACCGAUGGCGAAGGCAGCCUCCUGGGCCAACACUGACGCUCAUGCACGAAAGCGUGGGGAGCAAACAGG